AGGGUCACAAAUGAACCUGAGAGAGUCAGCCAACCUUCGCUCUCAGGACAGAUAUUGACUGGUCUUGGAAGAAAAGAUUUUUGACCACUGCUACCAGCUUUAUUUAGUUUCUUAAUGUGUGGAUCCAUCAGCGACCCUCCUCAAUUGCAAAAGAAUGGAUGUUUUCCCACUCUAUACAUGAAACUAAAAUCACAGGUUUAUUAAAGGAGCCAUUAUAAUCAUAGAUACUGCUAUAAGUUAUUACUGGCUAUCACUGAAUUCCUUAAAGCUGCACUAUACAAGACCUGUUUGUUAAAACUGUAAUAUCUGGUAAAAUUUGUCCUUUUGCUGCAAGUCAUCGUAUAAAAUGUGAAAUAUUAAUUCAAAAGUUGUCAGGAUUUGGUGAGAGUCUGUUGGCACAAGUUAGAUGUCUUUACAUGUUAAAUGACUGAUUAAAAUAAAAUUGCACUACUAUUAAUUAAUUGAA